rnacentral:misc_RNA from 1 species
AAGUCGUAACAAGGUUUCCGUAGGUGAACCUGCGGAAGGAUCAUUACCGUAUUAAAUUACAAUAAAGCUUUCAUUCCAUGUAAAGUGGAUGAAUAGCUCAUGAGAGAUUGUAUGAAUCAGUGCUUAAUAAUAAUGUGAGUGCUACCUCGUACAAACUCUAGUACGGAAUGCCAUUGUUGCAUAUACGUACGAUUUUGUUUGAUCUUUUAAAAAAAGUUCAAUCUAGAGAGCUUGGAAGCAAUGGGUAGCGAAUCUUUACAGCUUUAAAGUUAUACGCCCGCUUCUGCUCUAUUUUGAUUGUUCUUUUUUGAUCAUCAAAAAUAACGUUCUAUCUUGCAAAAUGCGAGAAAGGACGAAAGCUAAAAGAAUAGACUAAACAAAUGUUUUUAAAAAAUUAAAAAAAAAUCAACCUCGAGUGGUGGAUCACUCGGCUCGUGG